AAACCUAAAGCAUGCAGAUGAGAAGAAGAUGUUUGGAUUAAAUAUAAUGCAUAUGCAAUAAAAAUCAUUGCAGAUGAAAAUGAACAAGGUGCAUUUUGUAUCUAAAAGCUUUACUUUUAUUUUUAUUAUUAUUAUUAUUAUUAUUAUUAUUAUUAUUAUUAUUAUAUCUUUUGUAUUUUUCUACUGACUAAAUUCAGUUCCAGACCACUCAAUAAAUUAUUCAACUUAUUUUGAAAUUAUUUUUCCUUAACGUCUUUUUACAUCUUCUCCCAACAGCUUGCAAGGUUAGAAAAAUUCAAUUGGCUCAAUUAUAAUAUACAGGUGGGCACUUAACUCUGGGGGAUGAAAGAGGUGCUGCUAUCCAGUAACCAAGAUGAGGAGCCGUGAAUGUCCACACAAGUUUUCCCUCUAUCGAUACCACCGUCCCUAGUCCUUUUCUCAUCCAUCCACCUACAGGAGUACUGUACUGUACUUUGGUUGUCCUGCCGUACACACAUACACACACGGAGGACAGUGGUCCGGUUAAAAAACCAAGCUGGAACAACAUUUGAAGUUUGAAGUCCGCAGCUGUCAGGAAUGCUGAGGUUGAUUUGUAUGGGUCCACUCAAAUGUAACUCUACAUCUCCGGAGAAAAGCUGCACACUGACAGCC